AUGGCGAUGCCCUUUGCCUCCCUGUCGCCGGCAGCCGACCACCACCGCUCCUCCCCCAUCUUCCCCUUCUGCCGCUCCUCCCCUCUCUACUCGGCAGGGGAGGAGGCGGCGCAGCAGCAGCAGCAGCACGCGAUGAGCGGCGCGAGGUGGGCGGCGAUGAGGCCGGCGACCUUCACGGCGGCGCAGUACCAGGAGCUGGAGCAGCAGGCGCUCAUCUACAAGUACCUCGUCGCCGGCGUGCCCGUCCCGCCGGAUCUCCUCCUCCCCAUCCGCCGCGACUUCGACUCCCUCGCCUCGCGCUUCUACCACCACCACGCCCUUGGGUACGGGUCCUACUUCGGGAAGAAGCUGGAUCCGGAGCCGGGGCGGUGCCGGCGGACGGACGGCAAGAAGUGGCGGUGCUCCAAGGAGGCCGCCCAGGACUCCAAGUACUGCGAGCGCCACAUGCACCGCGGCCGCAACCGUUCAAGAAAGCCUGUGGAAACGCAGCUCGUCGCCACGCCCCACUCCCACUCCCACUCCCAGCAGCUGCAGCAGCACGCCCCCGCCGCCACCGCCGCCGCGUUCCACAGCCACUCGCCGUACCCGGCGAUCGCCACUGGCGGCGGCGGCGGCGCGGCCGGCUCCUUCGGCCUGGGGUCUGCUCAGCUGCACAUGGACAAUGCUGCUGCGCCUUACGCGACCGCUGGUGCGGCCGGAAACAAGGAUUUCAGGUAUUCUGCCUAUGGGUUUAGGACUUCGGCGCUGGAGGAGCACAACCAGUUCAUCAGCGCGGCCAUGGACACCGCCAUGGACAACUACUCAUGGCGCCUGAUGCCGGCCCAGAACUCGGCGUUCUCACUCUCGAGCUACCCCAUGCUGGGCACCCUGGGCGACCUGGACCAGAGCGCGAUCUGCUCGCUGGCCAAGACGGAGAGGGAGCCGCUGUCCUUCGGCGGCGGCGGCGGCUUCGAGGACGACGAGUCGGCGGUGAAGCAGGAGAACCAGACGCUGCGGCCCUUCUUCGACGAGUGGCCCAAGGACAGGGACUCGUGGCCGGAGCUGCAGGACCAUGACUCCAACCACAACAGCAACGCCUUCUCGGCCACCAAGCUGUCCAUCUCCAUCCCGGUGACCAGCUCCGACUUCUCCACCACCGCCGGCUCCCGCUCGCCCCACGGUAUAUACUCCCGGUGA
rnacentral:rRNA from 1 species